rnacentral:sRNA from 1 species
UGGUGGGGUGGGCUCCUGUGGAGACCAGAGGAAUACUUUGCCAGUAGGUUUGACCCUUGACCCUUGACCUGGAUUUUAAAGAGAGCAAGCAGCCCUCAGGCUUGCCAAGUAAGUGCCUCUACCAGCAGGGGUGUGGGGAGGAGGUCGGGGACUGAGAGGUGAGAGCAGGAGGAGGCAUGGAGGUGGGAGAGUCACACAUCAGAUCACCAGCCUUUGUUGUUUGUCUGUUUUCCUUUAGUGAGCAAAAAUGACAAGAAAUCCCUAAGAUGGUCAAUGUCUUUGGAAAAACCAGUUUAAAGAAUCCCUUACCAUCCUCCCAAUUUUCAGCCGCUGGCCACCAAAACAGUUGCACUGUGCCUAUGGCUGCUCAGUCAGUGCCAAGCUUCUGCCAGGCCUUUUUGACUAGGACACUUUAGGAAGGGAAGACCAGGGACACCGGUGGCAUCAAAUCCUCCAUGUGCUCGUUUGGCAGACAGUGUCGCUCUGUGGAGAGGAACCAUGAGCAGGGCCACGACCACACACACUGCUUGGGUUAUCUUCCUUUAUGACUGCUGCUUCUUUAUCCUAGACCCAUUGAGGACUUGCAGCCGAGAUCAGCCUGUUUGGGCUACCGAUGCCCAGACUCUGUCUCUAACACCUCUGGUAACAGGCGAACCCACACAGUAUGGGACCCUAAAGACAGUCGGCCAUUUGGAUUUGCAACCCUGCCAAGGAGGAGAGGAGGGCAAAGAGCUCUGGGAGAAGAGAAGUGGAAGUGAGCAUCAAUAUUUAGAUGCUGUCCUUCAGCAGCCUGUCAGGUGACUCUGUGUCAGUGAUCAUGAAAGAGCUGAAGGUGAAGUUCCGGCAGAACUCAGCCAUGGUCAGCAGAUACUGGCCAUAUUUCUCGGUGUGUGAAGCAGGUAGGUUUUACAUGGUUAAAAAUAUACUCAUUUGGAAUGUGUUCCAAACAACUGGAUAUGUAAAACCAUGACUUCACUGUCAGUCAGCAGGCUUCGGGAUUGAGGGUGACAGCUUGUUGGGAGGGAAUCAGCGAUGCAGAAGCCAAUGCAAGCAGGGGCACUUGUGCUUUUACACACAUGCUGGAGAGACCUUCAACUGCACAGUGAAUCUGUGACUCCAACAGGUCCAGUUUGACACCCUAGUCUCUCCCACGCAUGUGCGCAUCAAAAUUCUGAUUUAAUAGCCACGCUGUGGUACUUACCUCUCCAUCUCAUGGCCCAGAUGUAAAUAGAGAAAUUUUACAUCCAUACAAGAACUCAUACACAGACAGGAAGAGAAAAGAGGAGACUCUUUAAUCUCUAGCGAUCUAUGCUGCAGUUUGAGUGUAGCUAAUGGUCAGAAUCACUCCACCAGUAGGUGGCACUAUGGCACUAAAUAUUAGAGAGACUUGUCUGCCACAGGCCUUACAACUUGGUAUUCUGGUCACUAACUCUAAUAAAGCUGUGCAAUGCUAGACAUCUGGAAUGGCGUGGGCUAGGAAAUCCAUCUGCAGUCGUUUCUUCCACACUGCUCGAAAAUUCUAAUUAGGAGAUUUACUUCACGGAACAUAUUAAUUAGGAAAACCUUCAUGGCCUCCCUACCUCUGACUCCCCAGAAGAUGAAAUACUAAAAAUGACUAAUUCAUUCUGUGUUAUGAAAUAUUAUUAUUCUUUUGUGGAACUGAAAGUCUUUUUAUAUCAGCAGGGCCAUGAAGCAGGAGUCAGCCAUUGUUUCUUUUUCUGUUUGGUUGGUGGCAUGUUUGUUUUGCUUGCUGGGGACUGACCUGGUGGCCUUAGGGAGGACACAGGAUCCACACACACCCUCUACCAAUAAUCUACACUCCCAGCCCCUGUGUUAGCUCUCCAAUUCAGAUCUGACUUCUGCUUGGGCUCUUUUAUAUUUUCAUAUCUCAGAAGCUGGCCUUACCCCUAUCGACUCAUGGGACACUCAUUCUCAAAGCCCCCUUGUUUCUAGAGUUAGUAGGGUCAGAACCCGGAACCUGAACUGAGCAUGGUCAGAAUCUGCCUAGUGGUAGUGACCUACUCCCUCACAGGGCAAAAGAGGGGAGGGCAGCAGCUGAGGCCCAGCUGCAAGUCAGUAGCAGAGCGGAUGAAUCAACCUCUUGGAAGGUCAUGGCUCCAAGUGGGCCUGAAUGAAUGAAUGGGGCUGCAGGAAGGGGACGAGACAGACUCCAGUAGGGCAGGAAUAAGUGAAGAUCGGCAGGCUUCCUUUACCACUCCUACUCUAACCACAGUCCAAUACCAUCCGCCUAGGUUGGUGCUAAAGUUCCAAAGCACCAUGCUAUAAAUCCUUUUGCUUGCCACUUCUAGAAUGUUCAUUUAGCAUAAUGAGGCUCAUAUUAUAGAGGAUCGUUCAUCCCAGGCAAGCAGAUACAGCCCAGAGGCCAGUGUGUAGCCUUCUCCACUCAUAUUCUCCUCAUACAGCAAAUCAAGGGGAGCAGAAAUGGCGGCUCCUAGAUUUUGAUUGGCUCGUUUGUUUAUUAGCACGGUGGCCUUCUCGAUCUCGAUAAGCUUGUUUUAUGGGCACUAGUCUAUCCGGGCUUGUUUUAAAAUGUUAUGGUUCUGCUUUGCCUUUUCAAAAAGUAAGCACCUAAAGUCCUUUUCAGUCAGAAAGUUUCAGUGAAUCCCUCUGCCUGCUCUGGGGAAGGAUAGUUAGAGGCACGAGAAUAGGCUCACCCCACCCUGACUCCCACCCCAGUCCUGGCUCUUCUUGUCUUCCUGGCAGACUCCCAGGGGUUUCACCAUGACUGACAGACCUGUACCCACCUUUCUGAGAAACAUUGCAAGCAUGAUGGUCAAAAGACCGCACCUCAGGUCCACCCUCCUUGUGACCUACUGUCAAGUAAGGCUUGCUUUGAUCAACAUUUUCAGCACUGUUUGUGUUCUCUGCGCCCGCUGCAGCC